GCGGCGGGUCCAGAGCCGCCUCGCUCUCAGCCGUGCCCACCCUUAAUUUCCACUUUGGCACCCCCGACCUCGCUUCUGCGGCUGGGGUGGUGGUACAGGGUAAAAUAUUAGACGUGCCUUCCGCUCCCAAUUCGCUUAUGGGCCAAUCUGAGCCCGAGAGUUCAAUUUCUCCCCUCACAAAGAUGCGCGCUCGCUGGCCUGAGAUGAUACUGAAGCUUCAGAUACACAGGUUUCACGCCGCUGCAAAAAGGACAGUUUUGGCCUAUGGUUAGAUAGCCCAACAGAAGGAUCAAGUUCAAAUUGAUGAACAGAACACACCAGAGAUCCACGUGGCACAAGCUCCACAAGGGAAGGGUAUAAAAACACAGAGUGAGGACUUCUGAUGAACUGACCCAUCGUGUCUCUGCAUUUACAGGCUCGCCCCUUCACACCACCUUCAUCUUCUCAACAGCAGCCUCAACAGGGCAACCCCUGCGGACAAGGAUAACCCGCCGUCUCCGAGCACCCCAACGAGGGUUUGUGCUCUGGGAACAUUUAACUGGCGGCUGACCGCGGCUCCUCGCUGCUUCUGACACACGUGCGAGCCACUGGCGUGCACCGCGCCACCCGCGCUAGUCCCUUAGCGGGGGAAAGGAAAAGCGAGCUCCCCGCUUCCCCAGGCGAUGAGAGCCGGUGGCAACCUCACCGGGGACAGCGACACCGAAGCGUGCCUGCCGCCGCUCCCCGC